UACGGAGGAUGCAAGCGUUAUCCGGAAUGAUUGGGCGUAAAGCGUCCGCAGGUGGCGAUGUAAGUCUGCUGUUAAAGAGUGAGGCUCAACCUCAUAAGAGCAGUGGAAACUACACAGCUAGAGUGCGGUAGGGGCAGAGGGAAUUCCUGGUGUAGCGGUGAAAUGCGUAGAGAUCAGGAAGAACACCGGUGGCGAAAGCGCUCUGCUAGGCCGCAACUGACACUGAGGGACGAAAGCUAGGGGAGCGAAUGGG
rnacentral:rRNA from 1 species